GGGCGCAGUUGGCGCAAAAACAAUAAGAUAAAGGGACAAAAAGUAAUGACUAGGACUAUAACCCCUACGUUCACACCGAAGGGGUCACAGGUUCGAUCCCUGUCGCGCCCACCA
rnacentral:tRNA from 1 species